rnacentral:rRNA from 1 species
CACCGCCCGUCACACCAUGGGAGUUUGUUGCACCAGAAGCAGGUAGCUUAACCUUCGGGAGGGCGCUUGCCACGGUGUGGCUGAUGACUGGGGUG